CGGAGCGUGGCGCAGCCUGGUAGCGCACCUGAUUUGGGAUCAGGGGGUCGGAGGUUCGAAUCCUCUCGCUCCGACCA
rnacentral:tRNA from 7 species